ACUCCUACGGGAGGCAGCAGUGGGGAAUAUUGCACAAUGGGGGAAACCCUGAUGCAGCCAUGCCGCGUGUGUGAAGAAGGCCUUCGGGUUGUGAAAGCAACUUUCAGUAGGGAGGAAGGUAGUGUAGUUAACACCUGCACUAUUUGACGUUACCUACAGAAGAAGCACCGGCUAACUCCGUGCCAGCAGCCGCGGUAAUACGGAGGGUGCGAGCGUUAAUCGGAAUUACUGGGCGUAAAGCGCAUGCAGGCGGCCUGUUAAGUCAGAUGUGAAAGCCCGGGGCUUAACCUCGGAAUUGCAUUUGAAACUGGCAGUCUAGAGUCUUGUAGAGGGGGGUAGAAUUUCAGGUGUAGCGGUGAAAUGCGUAGAGAUCUGAAGGAAUACCAGUGGCGAAGGCGGCCCCCUGGACAAAGACUGACGCUCAGAUGCGAAAGCGUGGGGAGCAAACAGGAUUAGAUACCCUGGUAGGAUAG
rnacentral:rRNA from 1 species